rnacentral:rRNA from 1 species
GAGUUUGAUCAUGGCUCAGGACGAACGCUGGCGGCGUGCUUAACACAUGCAAGUCGAACGAUGAAGCCUAGCUUGCUAGGUGGAUUAGUGGCGAACGGGUGAGUAAUACGUGAGUGACCUACCUUUGACUCUGGGAUAAGCCUGGGAAACUGGGUCUAAUACCGGAUACGACCAAUCUCCGCAUGGGGUGUUGGUGGAAAGCGUUAUGGAGUGGUUUUAGAUGGGCUCACGGCCUAUCAGCUUGUUGGUGAGGUAAUGGCUUACCAAGGCGACGACGGGUAGCCGGCCUGAGAGGGUGACCGGCCACACUGGGACUGAGACACGGCCCAGACUCCUACGGGAGGCAGCAGUGGGGAAUAUUGCACAAUGGGCGCAAGCCUGAUGCAGCGACGCCGCGUGAGGGAUGACGGCCUUCGGGUUGUAAACCUCUGUUAGCAUCGAAGAAGCGAAAGUGACGGUAGGUGCAGAGAAAGCGCCGGCUAACUACGUGCCAGCAGCCGCGGUAAUACGUAGGGCGCGAGCGUUGUCCGGAAUUAUUGGGCGUAAAGAGCUUGUAGGCGGUUGGUCGCGUCUGCUGUGAAAGGCUGGGGCUUAACCCUGGUUUUGCAGUGGGUACGGGCUAACUAGAGUGCAGUAGGGGAGACUGGAAUUCCUGGUGUAGCGGUGGAAUGCGCAGAUAUCAGGAGGAACACCGAUGGCGAAGGCAGGUCUCUGGGCUGUAACUGACGCUGAGAAGCGAAAGCAUGGGGAGCGAACAGGAUUAGAUACCCUGGUAGUCCAUGCCCGUAAACGUUGGGCACUAGGUGUGGGGGACAUUCCACGUUUUCCGCGCCGUAGCUAACGCAUUAAGUGCCCCGCCUGGGGAGUACGGCCGCAAGGCUAAAACUCAAAGAAAUUGACGGGGGCCCGCACAAGCGGCGGAGCAUGCGGAUUAAUUCGAUGCAACGCGAAGAACCUUACCAAGGCUUGACAUAUACUGGACUGCGUCAGAGAUGGCGUUUCCCUUCGGGGCUGGUAUACAGGUGGUGCAUGGUUGUCGUCAGCUCGUGUCGUGAGAUGUUGGGUUAAGUCCCGCAACGAGCGCAACCCUCGUUCUAUGUUGCCAGCACGUGAUGGUGGGGACUCAUAGGAGACUGCCGGGGUCAACUCGGAGGAAGGUGGGGAUGACGUCAAAUCAUCAUGCCCCUUAUGUCUUGGGCUUCACGCAUGCUACAAUGGCCGGUACAGAGGGUUGCGAUACUGUGAGGUGGAGCUAAUCCCUAAAAGCCGGUCUCAGUUCGGAUUGGGGUCUGCAACUCGACCCCAUGAAGUCGGAGUAGGUAGUAAUCGCAGAUCAGCAACGCUGCGGUGAAUACGUUCACGGGCCUUGCACACACCGCCCGUC